UACGUAGGUGGCGAGCGUUGUCCGGAUUUACUGGGCGUAAAGGGAGCGUAGGCGGACUUUUAAGUGAGAUGUGAAAUACUCGGGCUCAACUUGAGUGCUGCAUUUCAAACUGGAAGUCUAGAGUGCAGGAGAGGAGAAUGGAAUUCCUAGUGUAGCGGUGAAAUGCGUAGAGAUUAGGAGGAACCCCGAUUGCGAAGGCAGCAUACCGGCUCCACACUGACGCUGAGGCACGAAAGCGUGGGUAUCGAACAGG
rnacentral:rRNA from 1 species